rnacentral:rRNA from 1 species
GGGUUGUGAGGUUAAGCGACUAAGCGUACACGGUGGAUGCCCUGGCAGUCAGAGGCGAUGAAGGACGUGCUAAUCUGCGAUAAGCGUCGGUAAGGUGAUAUGAACCGUUAUAACCGGCGAUUUCCGAAUGGGGAAACCCAGUGUGAUUCGUCACACUAUCAUUAACUGAAUCCAUAGGUUAAUGAGGCGAACCGGGGGAACUGAA